rnacentral:rRNA from 1 species
AUACGGAGGGUGCAAGCGUUAUCCGGAUUCAUUGGGUUUAAAGGGUGCGCAGGCGGACUUGUAAGUCAGUGGUGAAAUCCCGGGGCUCAACUUCGGAACUGCCAUUGAUACUGCAAGUCUUGAGUUUGGUUGAAGUGGGCGGAAUGUAGCGUGUAGCGGUGAAAUGCAUAGAUAUGCUACAGAACACCGAUCGCGAAGGCAGCUCACUAAACCAACACUGACGCUCAGGCACGAAAGCGUGGGGAGCAAACAGGAUUAGAAACCCCAGUAGUCC